UCGGGUCGAUGUUCGUCUAAACACUAAAUAUUUUCACCUUGAAACAGGUUUUUGGGAAAGAAAAAAAAAUUCAAGGUGUUUUCACUUUGCCGAUUUCAAACUCUCACUGGAUCAGAAACUCUGUGACUUCGUCAAGAAGAAAGUAACCUUGAAGGAGAAAUGAAGGCGUUUCGGCAACGCGUCGUCUUUUAUAUAGAACACUAGAUGGCGCCCGACAUGCUUAAUUGGCCAAUUCGGUCGCAUUCAUAGAAAGGCUUUUCAGUUUAAUUGACUAUAAAUUACUUUUUAUUUAUAUGAAUAAAUUAAAGUAAACAUAUAUAAAACUAUAUGUAGAA